GUGGUAAUAGUAUAAUUAAGUAUUCUUGUCUUCCAAAUAAGAGGUCCAGUUUUGGUUACUAUU
rnacentral:tRNA from 1 species